rnacentral:rRNA from 1 species
UACGAAGGGGGCUAGCGUUGCUCGGAAUCACUGGGCGUAAAGGGUGCGUAGGCGGGUUUUUAAGUCAGGGGUGAAAUCCUGGAGCUCAACUCCAGAACUGCCUUUGAUACUGAAGAUCUUGAGUCCGGGAGAGGUGAGUGGAACUGCGAGUGUAGAGGUGAAAUUCGUAGAUAUUCGCAAGAACACCGGUGGCGAAGGCGGCGACCUGGUCCGAUACUGACGCUGAGGCGCGAAAGCGUGGGGAGCAAACGGG